GAAAAGUGGCCACUCUUCGUACGUUUGUCAUAUAGCCACUGGCGAUUUCUUGCUUCCUCAGUGGUCAAAAGUUCUCCUUCGAAAAGAAAAAGAAAUCACAAUCCAAAAAAGGAACCAGUUUGUCAAAAGGAAUCAUUAUAAGUACACAUCAGCACAAAAAGAACAAGAAAGUAGAUAACUUUGUCCACGUCGACAAUUUUCAAGUCUUGAGAAGUUUGAGAAAAUUCAUAUAUACUGUGUUUACUGAUUAGUGAAAUGCCAAGAUAACUUCACCAAUUUCAACAAUUAUUGUGGACACCACUCUCAAGAGAAUAGUCAAUUUAGCUUUAUUUAGAUGAUUAAAAAAUGGGGAAAGGCUCAAAUAU
rnacentral:lncRNA from 1 species